CACUUUGUGUGCAUAAUUCAUCUGUGUGCUUCCAUCAAUGUAUUUCCCUACAAUUUGACUGUUUGUCUUUGACUCAUCCUUGUAUUAACAUUUAGAGAAAUGAUGCCAUGGAUUUGUUCUUGUCAUGUAGGAUGCUGACUGAUGUUCUUCUUCUGUUGGUUUCCUCGUCCUCCUCCUGGAUGCCCUGGAUUAGAGCAGACCUCCCUGCCGCCGCUCACACACAGACCUGCUUCUUCUCAACUCCUCAAUCUCAGUUCUCACCCCCGAUGGAGUAACGUUUCACGUCGGAGGGGAACGCUGAUUGUCCAGACAGGUGGAGGCUGAGCCACAGAGACAAGUCCUGCUGUAUCGCUGGUGUUGAGAUGUCUGAGCCUGGAGGACUGUGACACUCAUUAGGAAUCCCAUCACCAGCACUGAUGUUGUGGAGGUCUGAAGGACACGCGCCGCGCACUCACAUGUAACUUUGGAGGACUCACUUGUGUCAUGUAUUUUAAACUGGCACUUGCUCUGGUUAUAACGUCGGUGUGAGGAGCACGUGAAGGAAAUCAAACACACUCACUCACACAUGGACUCAGAGACCAGGAAGCUGUAAAAACCCUCAACAGUCAUGGUGGUCCACUGGGAUCUGUCUCCUUCAGGGCCUGGCUUUACAGUAAUGGACCACAGGAAGGACAGAAAAGCCACAUUGUUCCCAAAACAUCUCUCACUCAUCAUUUUUUAAAAUCAUAAUUGUUCUCUUUUAUUGUGUGCGUGUCAUUCACACUGCAGCCCGCUCUCUUCGAUGGGUUUUAUCAUUUUAUUUGCGUUACCAAAUCUAUUGUGAAAGGAUUAUUUCACCUUCUAGUUGUUGUUUUUUCAUUUGUCAGAAUGAGUUUAUAUUUAUGUCAUAUAACCCCUCCUCCCUCUUUCCGUCUUUCCCCUCCUACUCUUUUUUUAACCCCUCUCUUUUCCCAUCAAGCCUCACUUUCCUGCAAAAUCCACCUCUCAAGACUGAUACCUAGAUUAGUUUUCUCUUUUUCCAAGGUCAGACUGACGUGUAUCAUGUUUGAUACUUGUGGAUCAGCCCAUUCUGUCCUGUCAGUCCACAUUGUUUUCACUGCUGCUGGUGUGAGCUGCACUGACAUUAUAGAGCACACAGUAACUUCAGCAAGUUUACCUCCGGAGCAUAUUGAUCAGAAAUGCUUAAGGAAGUCGAGUCAUUAACCAAAAGGACUACAGUGGCAGAAAGAGAUACCUGGUGGGAAAUGGCCUCUCCAGUAGAAUCUCUGGGGCCUUUUAAUCUGGUAAUUCUCUGCUGAGAUGCAAGUAAGAGGAUUUUUGCCUUAAAUGUAAAGAUGAUGUUUAGUGGGAUGACAGACAGCACAUAAUGGGUUUACUAAGCCGCAGCUCCCAUUGUUAAUGUUAUUAUGCUCUAACCUAUAUCGGGUGUUUCAUCCAUGGACACAUUUGAAUUUUAUUUUAUUUUUGAAAUAUCUGUCAUCUUGAAAUAUGACUGACACACGAACAUUCAAAUUCAAAUCCAUACAACAGCUUUGUUGCAUUCUGAUUUUGCUUUUAUUUAAACCACGUAGCAAAGGAUUACCGUGCUUUUUUCUGCACGACAUCGCUUAUUGGAUCAUUUUCCUUUCGCUGUGAUAUAGUCUAGUGCUCCAAGUGUAACAUCAGUGCAUCGGUUUCAAUUAACAACUGUGCAAACCUCUUCUUUUUUUUUUCCUCUGUGUACAAGGAGGGUUGAUGACUGCAGAGGGAGAAGCAGCUGCUCUCGUCCACAUGAUUAACCAGCGUCUGAGCGUGCUGCAGGAACACGCGUGUAAUGUGCAUGGACUGUCUCCAAGACAUUGACCUUAAACGUCCCUAAUAAAUAAAGACAACCUUGCACACAACACAUUAGCACCACUCGCCAUCUCUGUGGAUGCAACCCAUUCAUACUGUGAAAUGGAUAUUUUUUUUUCAUUUUCAGGUAAUGUUGCUCCCUUGAACUGACCGAGCUGACUGGACGUCGGAGUGUGGGAAUAUCACAUGUGCUGAGGUAGAAAGGAAAAUAAGUCCAGUUUCAUUUUUGGGAUUCUAACUCAGGGUGACCAGUCCACUGUCAGCUAAUCCCGUCUCCCUCCUCGUAUAUUGUCUUUUGUAUCAGAGAAGAAACGCUCGCGGUUCAGUCUCUGCAUUAAGUCAGCCUGUCAGAAUGCUUCCCUCGAGAGCUUUGGACUUCAAGUUCAUCCCGGUGGUUCCUCUGCUGGUGGCCCCCACUGGAGGAGCAAGGUCACAGUGGGCCCGAGUGUCGAAAUUUUCACACAGCUUCAGCAGAAAUCGCACACGUAUUUUUACACAAUGUUUGUCGGUAAAAGCUAAUUCAAUAGUCUGAGGACAAUUUCUUUAAAUUGCACUAAUGUGGUUCAGAUGGGAUUGCAGGCAAAAUGACUUAAGAUAAUAAACUUAUUGAAAACACAUUGUUUUUCUAUUUUUUUUUUUUUUAAUGUUUUUCUGCCAAAAAUAUGUUUGUAUAGAUGAAAACACCAGAAUCCUUUGGCUGCAAUGUAAUAGCAACCUUUGUAGAAUGUUUUAUUUCAUUGUUUUUAAUUAUGUAUUUAAAAAGUCCAAUAGAGUAUAAUAUUGUGGGCACUAAUAGGGGACUGUAAUAUAUGUGGCAUUUUUUGUGGAUUAUUGGAAGGACUUUCUAAAUAAAUAAAUGAAUCAU